GACAUUUAGGUUGCUUCCAUGUCUUGGCCGUUAUAAAUAGUGCUGCUAUGAACACUGGGGUACAUGUAUCUUUUCAAAUUAGUUUUUUCCAGAUAUAGAUCCAGAAGUGGGUUUGCUGCAUCGUAAGGUAAGUCUACUGUUCUCCAUAGGGCCUGCACCAAUUUAUAUUCCUACCAAGAGUGCGGGAGGGUCCCUUUUUCUCCAUACCUUCUCCAGCAUUUGCUAUUUCAUUUGCAGAGUUUUUAACGAUGGCCUUUCUGACGGGUGCGAGGUGAUGAUACCUUUGGAUUUCUCUAAUGAUUAGCGAUACUGAGCAUCUUUUCAUGUUCCUGUUGACCAUCAGUGUGUCUUCUUUGGAGCAAUAUUUAGGACAUCCGCUCAUUUUUAAAAAAUGACCUGGAAGAGAAAGGAAAACCAAUAAUGCAGGAAAGGGGGGAGAAACUGCUUGUUUUAGCAGCAGAGUUGGUACCAACAAUGUAAGUGGACAGACUGACUUGAAGCACAGAAUUCACCCACAGGAACUGGCAGGAAGGCAACGUGCGUCACUGCGAACGCUGCCAGGGAUUCAAUGAUGACUCAACACACACAGGUUAUCAAACACAGGGAUAAGACAGAAACACCAACCACAAAGGAAGAGGGGCUCGUGGAUCUGGAAGUGUGGCUGGGAUGGUUUAGAUGACUUCUGAGCUGUCAGUUACGUCGCUGCUGGAGGAGACCUGAAUGUCGGCCUCCUACACAGAAAUAAUUUUGGUCAGCAAGCACCAUCAAUAACAUUGUUAUCAACACGUGACAUCAGGUCCUGAAGAAGAUGGCGGAGUAGCAGGAUGUGAAGCUCACCUACUCCCACAAACACACUGAGGAUGCAUCUACCUGUGCCAUGAUUCACAGAAAACCUGCUGAAUUCUGGCAAAUCUUUCAGGAUUCUGAAAGAGCAAGAAAAUCUUCAUGAAGAAAAAAGGUAUGAGAAAAGAAAGAAGAUGAGAAAGGAAGCAGAAUGGGACCUGCACCCCAAGGAGGCAGAUGGAAAGAAAGGUCCAGGACCCUGAGAAGUUGCCCCACCGGCGAGGAAAUCAGCCAGGUCAGAGGAGAAACUCUCUAGAGUCUUGGAGGAGAACACAGCAGUCAGCGUGAAAAAGCAGGUAAAAUGGAACCAGUCCUCCACAGUCAGUGCUACCGCCCUGUGCUUCCUGACCAUCUGCUCACACCGUGUGGGUUGGGAACUGAAACUCAGGCUUUGGACAUCAGAAUCAGAGAGAGGUGGGGCUGGCUACAUGGGGAAAAAUGAGUUAGCCACAUGGAAACAGCCUGGAGGGACCAGAAAAUCUGUUUUAAAAAUCUGUUCCCAUAGAUCACUCAAAAGACCCCCCCAAAAAAUAAGUAAAAAUUAAAAAAUAAAAAGGAGUUCUCAUCAUGGUGCAGCAGAAAUGACUCUGACUAGGAACCAUGAGGUUGCGGGUCUGAUCCCCGGCCUCACUCAGUGGGUGAAGGAUACCGCAUUGCCAUGAGUUGUGUAGGUCACAGACUCAGCUGUAGUUUGGAUUGGACCCCUAGCCUGGGAACCUCCAUAUGCCGUGGGUACGGCCCUAAAAAGCAAAAAGCAAAAAAAAAAAAAAAAAAAAAAAAAAGCCACUCCCACCUCUGCUUAAAUUCUCAGGACAAUCCUGGGACAUAAGAGCUGUCCAAAGAGCCAGGGAAUUUCCCCUGUAGGCCCAAGAAGAGUCCUGAAGUUACUUAAUAAUGUUUCUGAACUUCUUUGUGCUCAUUAGAUCAGAAAUAAUUAAGUUUUCAAGAAAACAGGGGGGAAAAAAAUGCUCUCCUCUCAAACUGGUGGAGGCAAAGUGAGGGUAAGAAAGCCAAUUCCAAGUAACAAGUUGACUAUAGUGAUUUUUUUUAACUAAUAUGAUGAACUGUUCUUGUGACUCAAGAUCUUAUCUGGGCAUGUUUAUCAAAUAAUUCAUAAAAUUAUCUGCAAAAUAAGAAAACUGUAAAAUGUGUGGGAACUAAUUACUGCACAAUAUGCCAUGUGCAUAUUCAUGAUACCUAACAUUUUAUAAAAUUUCACAAUACAGAGUUUAAAUGAAAAAAACUUACAACUAUUAUUUUCUUCCAGGACUCUAAUUCUCAGAAAGCACUUCAGUAAAGGUCAAAAUGAUGUUGCCAGGAAACAUUACUGACCAAGUUCUAUGUGCUUUUGAAGCUAAUUAUCAAUCUCUUACACUAUAAUUUGAAACUGCCAGUUUUAAGCCUAAUUAUUCAAAUGUCAACGCUCUUACAGUCAACAUGAGAAAUAAAUUCUAUACAAUUCCUCCAGUUCCCAAAAAAAAGGAUUUCUAUAGUCAGAAAGAAGAAGUUCCCAUGUGGAGCAAUGGUUAACAAUCCUGACUAGUAUCCAUAAGGAUGCGGGUUCAAUCCCUGGCCUUGCUCAGUGGGUUAAGGAUCCAGUGUUGCCGUGAGCUGUGGUGGAGGUCGCAGACGCGGCUUGGAUCCCACGUUGCCGUGGCUGUGGUGUAGGCUGGCAGCUGCAGCUCUGAUUCGACCCCCAGCCUGGGAACCUCCAUAUACCACGGGUACGGCCCUAAAAAAA